rnacentral:piRNA from 1 species
CUGAUCAACUGCCUGACUCUCUCU